rnacentral:rRNA from 1 species
AGCAACCUGCCUGCAANAGGGGGACAACAGCUGGAAACGGCUGCUAAUACCGCAUAAGACCACAGCAUCGCAUGAUGAAGAGGUCAAAGGAGGAAUCCACUUGCAGAUGGGCUCGCGUCCCAUUAGGUAGUUGGUGAGGUAAAGGCUCACCAAGCCGACGAUGGGUAGCCGACCUGAGAGGGUGAUCGGCCACACUGGAACUGAGACACGGUCCAGACUCCUACGGGAGGCAGCAG